GCGGGGCAUAGUGGUGCAUGCCUGUAAUCCCAGCACCUUGGGAGGCUGAAACAAGAGGAUCAUAAACUCAAGGCCAGCCUCAGCAACUUAGUGAGACCCUGUCUCAA
rnacentral:sRNA from 1 species